UACGGGGGGGGCAAGCGUUGUUCGGAAUUACUGGGCGUAAAGGGCUCGUAGGUGGCCAACUAAGUCAGACGUGAAAUCCCUCGGCUUAACCGGGGAACUGCGUCUGAUACUGGAUGGCUUGAGUUUGGGAGAGGGAUGCGGAAUUCCAGGUGUAGCGGUGAAAUGCGUAGAUAUCUGGAGGAACACCGGUGGCGAAGGCGGCAUCCUGGACCAAUACUGACACUGAGGAGCGAAAGCCAGGGGGGCAAACGGG
rnacentral:rRNA from 1 species